rnacentral:misc_RNA from 1 species
GAUGAAGAACGCAGCGAAAUGCGAUAAGUAAUGCGAAUUGCAGAAUUCAGUGAAUCAUCGAAUCUUUGAACGCACAUUGCGCCCGCCAGUAUUCUGGCGGGCAUGCCUGUCUGAGCGUCAUUUCAACCCUCAUGCCCCUAGGGCGUGGUGUUGGGGAUCGGCCAAAGCCCGCGAGGGACGGCCGGCCCCUAAAUCUAGUGGCGGACCCGUCGUGGCCUCCUCUGCGAAGUAGUGAUAUUCCGCAUCGGAGAGCGAUGAGCCCCUGCCGUUAAACCCCCAACUUUCCAAGGUUGACCUCAGAUCAGGUAGGAAUACCCGCUGAACUUAAGCAUAUCAAUAAGCGGAGGA